rnacentral:rRNA from 1 species
CCUACGGGUGGCAGCAGUGAGGAAUAUUGGUCAAUGGGCUUACGCCUGAACCAGCCAAGUCGCGUGAGGGAAGACUGCCCUAUGGGUUGUAAACUUCUUUUAUAUGGGAAUAAAAUGUUCCACGUGUGGGAUUUUGUAUGUACCAUAUGAAUAAGGAUCGGCUAACUCCGUGCCAGCAGCCGCGGUAAUACGGAGGAUCCGAGCGUUAUCCGGAUUUAUUGGGUUUAAAGGGGGCGUAGGUGGAUUGUUAAGUCAGUUGUGAAAAUUUGCGGCUCAACCGUAAUAUUGCAGUUGAAACUGGCAGUCUUGAGUACAGUAGAGGAGGGCGGAAUGCGUGGUGUAGCGGUGAAAUGCUUAGAUAUCACGAAGAACUCCGAUUGCGAAGGCAGCUCACUGGACUGCAACUGACACUGAGGCUCGAAAGUGUGGGUAUCAAACAGGAUUAGAUACCCGAGUAGUC